GAUAGAGGCGUGCUCGAAAGAGAGCCGUAACACAGGUGCUGCAUGGCUGUCGUCAGCUCGUGUCGUGAGAUGUUGGGUUAAGUCCCGCAACGAGCGCAACCCUUGUCAUAGUUGCUACAUUCAGUUGGGCACUCUAAUGAGACUGCCGGUGACAAGCCGGAGGAAGGUGGGGAUGACGUCAAGUCCUCAUGGCCCUUAUAGGUGGGGCUACACACGUCAUACAAUGGCUGGUACAAAGGGUUGCCAACCGCGAGGGGGAGCUAAUCCCAUAAAGCCAGUCGUAGUCCGGAUCGUAGUCUGCAACUCGACUACGUGAAGUCGGAAUCGCUAGUAAUCGUGGAUCAGAAUGUCACGGUGAAUACGUUCCCGGGUCUU
rnacentral:rRNA from 1 species